CAAAACCAAAAACCUGAAAAUGAGAGUAAAGAAAAAUGGCGACAAUCCCUUCUUCGAAGAGAUGGCUUCCUCUUGAAGCAAACCCUGAUGUUAUGAACCAGUUUAUUUGGGGACUUGGUGUUUCCUCAGAAGAGGCAGAGUGCUUUGAUGUUUAUGGACUUGAUGAAGAGCUCUUGGCAAUGGUUCCACAGCCGGUGCUCGCUGUGUUGUUUCUCCCCAUAACUCCGAAGAGUGAGGAAGAGAGGAUUCAACAAGAUAGUUCGACAAAGGAAUCUAGUGGAGGACCUUACUUCAUGAAGCAAACUGUGGGAAAUGCCUGUGGAACUGUUGGACUUCUUCAUGCUGUUGGUAAUGUAACUUCUGAGAUCAAACUUGUCGAGGGGUCUUACCUGGACAAAUUCUUCAAGGACACUGCAAAUAUGGAUGCGUCACAGGUCAGCGUGCGCCUUGCCAUCUUCUAUGUCGUUAUUCCCAUCUAGUAUUUUUAAGAAUAAAUGAUUCUGCACCGUGCAAAAUUCCUUGAAAAUGAUAGAGAAAUGGAAGAUGCUCAUGCAGUUGCAGCAACUGCUGGUGAAACUGAGGCAUCAGAUAAUGUUGACACCCAUUUCAUCUGCUUUACAUGUGUGAAUGGACAACUGUAUGAGCUUGAUGGAAGGAGGGCUGGGCCUAUUUCACACGGUGCAUCUUCGAGUAACACCAUAUUACAGGAUGCUGCUAAAGUCAUUCAAAAGUUUAUCCAGAAAAACCCUGAUUCGAUUAACUUCAAUGUUAUUGCUAUUUCGAAGAAAACUGGAGCAUGGAGUUGAGAUGCAUCAAAGAGAUGUGAUGGCACUUCAAUGGGCAGACUCAGUGACUAUUUCCCAUGUUGAUUUGUAGGCACCCCAAUGGAUAAGACAGUUGGUUAGUACUUCAUGUUAAUAACGUUUUUAUAUCUACGAAUGCAAGAAUUAGAC